rnacentral:misc_RNA from 1 species
AACGCAUCUUGCGCUCCUUGGUAUUCCAUGGGGCAUGCCUGUUCGAGCGUCAUUUACACCCUCAAGCUCUGCUUGGUGUUGGGCGUCUGUCCCCCCUCUUCUUGUGGGACUCGCCCUAAAGGCAUUGGCAGCGGUCCUGUCGGGCCUCCUAAUCGCGCAGCACUGUUCGCGCUUCCUGGAGCCUGUGCGGAUUUCAGCGUCCAUCAAGCCCCCACGUUCUUUGACUUGACCUCGAAUCAGGUAGGGAUACCCGCUGAACUUAA